UACGGAGGGUGCAAGCGUUAUCCGGAUUCACUGGGUUUAAAGGGUGCGUAGGAGGGCAGGGAAGUCAGUGGUGAAAUCUCCGGGCUUAACUCGGAAACUGCCGUUGAUACUCUCUGUCUUGAAUACCGUGGAGGUGAGCGGAAUAUGUCAUGUAGCGGUGAAAUGCUUAGAUAUGACAUAGAACACCAAUUGCGAAGGCAGCUCGCUACACGAAUAUUGACUCUGAGGCACGAAAGCGUGGGGAUCAAACAGG
rnacentral:rRNA from 1 species